GACAGAGGUCCCGAGCGUUGUUCGGAAUCACUGGGCGUAAAGCGCACGCAGGCGGAUCGUUAAGUCAGGGGUGAAAUCCCGAGGCUCAACCUCGGAACUGCCUUUGAUACUGGCGAUCUUCGAGUCCGGGAGAGGUGAGUGGAACUCCGAGUGUAGAGGUGAAAUUCGUAGAUAUUCGGAAGAACACCAGUGGCGAAGGCGGCUCACUGGCCCGGUACUGACGCUCAGGUGCGAAAGCGUGGGGAGCAAACAGG
rnacentral:rRNA from 1 species